CCUCGGAGGCAGGAAGGGGGUUGACCUGGGCCCCAGCUGCCUGGUGCAGCAGUCAAGGCACUCAGACCUCCCUGGUGCUUUUGCCAGAUUCAGAAGGUAUGAAGAGAAAGCAAUUCAAGUGCAUCUAAGGUAGGAGGAGAGAAAAACAGACCAUCCAUCCAAAGGUCUCCAAGGGCAACCCUUCACUUAUGAAAGAAGUCUGAGGUCUGGCGUGAAGUUCAUUUGGGGUUGGCUAGGCUAGCACUUCUCAGACCUGGGACAGGAGAGUUGAGGUUGCCUCCAGGAGAAUUUUACUAAUAUUGAUCUUUCUGCCUGGCUUUAAGACAAAGAUCACCCUC